UGCUGGGGGACACGUCAGAGUUCGGGUCUGAGGUGGACGUGUUUGGUCGGCUGGUGGAAGGAGGGUAGAAGAAGGUCUGCCUGUCUGGUAAGACGUUCCGCCCCGACCAGAGGGUCGAAGCCGCGCCCACAGCGGGGGCCAGGCUCUGGUCCUGGUUAUCGGAAUCCGGGGUUUGGGAACCCUGCAUCGCCUCACGCCCUCUUCCCCUGCUGCGGCCACGGCGGUCUCUGGGAUAGAAGAUCACCACUUACUCAUACAACAAGUAGCAAAAUUCAUAUUGUACUGCUCUUAAAGUCAGAGUGACUGGACUCUAGGGCUUGGAGCAACCACUUUUCUGUGCAGCUAUGAAGAAAUCAGGUAACCUACCCGAAGUUCCUCCUCUGCAAAAUGGCCAAUAAUCCUGGUCUGGUUGUUCUAAUUGCAUUGAUGUAUUAAUACCUUAUUUCAAGAGAGUUAUUAAAAUGAGGUAUUCUACUUUUGUCUAAUUUUUGAAUGAUAGACAC
rnacentral:lncRNA from 1 species